UGAACGCUGGCGGCAUGCCUUACACAUGCAAGUCGAACGGCAGCAGGAUCUAGCUUGCUAGAUUGAUGGCGAGUGGCGAACGGGUGAGUAAUACAUCGGAACGUGCCCUGUAGUGGGGGAUAACUAGUCGAAAGAUUAGCUAAUACCGCAUACGACCUGAGGGUGAAAGUGGGGGACCGCAAGGCCUCAUGCUAUAGGAGCGGCCGAUGUCUGAUUAGCUAGUUGGUGGGGUAAAGGCCCACCAAGGCGACGAUCAGUAGCUGGUCUGAGAGGACGAUCAGCCACACUGGGGACUGAGACACGGCCCAGACUCCUACGGGAGGCAGCAGUGGGGAAUUUUGGACAAUGGGCGAAAGCCUGAUCCAGCAAUGCCGCGUGUGUGAAGAAGGCCUUCGGUUGUAAGCACUUUGUCCGAAGAACUAGGCUCUGGUUAGUACCUGGGUCGGAUGACGGUACCGGAACGGAAUAAGGACCGGCGUAACUACG
rnacentral:rRNA from 1 species